GAUGAACGCUGGCGGCGUGCCUAAUACAUGCAAGUCGAGCGAACGGACGAGAAGCUUGCUUCUCUGAUGUUAGCGGCGGACGGGUGAGUAACACGUGGAUAACCUACCUAUAAGACUGGGAUAACUUCGGGAAACCGGAGCUAAUACCGGAUAAUAUUUUGAACCGCAUGGUUCAAAAGUGAAAGACGGUCUUGCUGUCACUUAUAGAUGGAUCCGCGCUGCAUUAGCUAGUUGGUAAGGUAACGGCUUACCAAGGCAACGAUGCAUAGCCGACCUGAGAGGGUGAUCGGCCACACUGGAACUGAGACACGGUCCAGACUCCUACGGGAGGCAGCAGUAGGGAAUCUUCCGCAAUGGGCGAAAGCCUGACGGAGCAACGCCGCGUGAGUGAUGAAGGUCUUCGGAUCGUAAAACUCUGUUAUUAGGGAAGAACAUAUGUGUAAGUAACUGUGCACAUCUUGACGGUACCUAAUCAGAAAGCCACGGCUAACUACGUGCCAGCAGCCGCGGUAAUACGUAGGUGGCAAGCGUUAUCCGGAAUUAUUGGGCGUAAAGCGCGCGUAGGCGGUUUUUUAAGUCUGAUGUGAAAGCCCACGGCUCAACCGUGGAGGGUCAUUGGAAACUGGAAAACUUGAGUGCAGAAGAGGAAAGUGGAAUUCCAUGUGUAGCGGUGAAAUGCGCAGAGAUAUGGAGGAACACCAGUGGCGAAGGCGACUUUCUGGUCUGUAACUGACGCUGAUGUGCGAAAGCGUGGGGAUCAAACAGGAUUAGAUACCCUGGUAGUCCACGCCGUAAACGAUGAGUGCUAAGUGUUAGGGGGUUUCCGCCCCUUAGUGCUGCAGCUAACGCAUUAAGCACUCCGCCUGGGGAGUACGACCGCAAGGUUGAAACUCAAAGGAAUUGACGGGGACCCGCACAAGCGGUGGAGCAUGUGGUUUAAUUCGAAGCAACGCGAAGAACCUUACCAAAUCUUGACAUCCUUUGACAACUCUAGAGAUAGAGCUUUCCCCUUCGGGGGACAAAGUGACAGGUGGUGCAUGGUUGUCGUCAGCUCGUGUCGUGAGAUGUUGGGUUAAGUCCCGCAACGAGCGCAACCCUUAAGCUUAGUUGCCAUCAUUAAGUUGGGCACUCUAAGUUGACUGCCGGUGACAAACCGGAGGAAGGUGGGGAUGACGUCAAAUCAUCAUGCCCCUUAUGAUUUGGGCUACACACGUGCUACAAUGGACAAUACAAAGGGCAGCGAAACCGUGAGGUCAAGCAAAUCCCAUAAAGUUGUUCUCAGUUCGGAUUGUAGUCUGCAACUCGACUAUAUGAAGCUGGAAUCGCUAGUAAUCGUAGAUCAGCAUGCUACGGUGAAUACGUUCCCGGGUCU
rnacentral:rRNA from 1 species